CCGUACAUUUUUUUGAUGGCUCUAUAGAAUGGCGUAUGGACUGGCUUUAUAGGUCCACUGAGCCAAAAGAGCAACCUAACUAAACUGUCGUCAUUCUCUUUUCUCUUUCUUCUUGACCCGACCGACUCGUAGCAGGUUGCAGUGAAUUUGUUGUAACGAGUUUCGACUCAAUUGUAACACAAUGCAUCAAAGGAUUUCUAGACAGCAAAAUCGUUUAACGCUGACGUGCACAGUCAGCACAAAUUCGGUCAACGUGUCGCAAAUUACGUAACAACUUUGAGGAAGAUGAUUUCGAAGCUUUUAAGAGUUCUUGAUGUACAUCAAUAACGGUAUCUGCUACUGGCGUCAAAAACAUCUACAAGGAAGCUCGUAAAAAAUUUGUGCUGAUCCGAUACACAAUAUCACGAGAAAAAAGGAGCCUGUCAAGAAAAAGUGGAGCCACACACAAAUUAUCUGCAUCAGAAAGAACCGUGUGUUAAAAGAAGUCUUCCUUUUUGAAGACUUUGGAAGAAGCUGAAGCGUAACCUUAUAUUACAUUGCAUCUAUCUUGUAAUUUAUGCAUACAUCAUUUGCAUGUAGAAUCAAUCAAGAAUAAAGAAAACUACACCCAUA